rnacentral:lncRNA from 1 species
GUCAGGAGUUGGAGACCAGCCUGGCCAACAUGGUGAAACCCUGCCUCUACUAAAGAUACAAAAAAUUAGCCAGGUGUGGUGGCAUGUGCUUGUAAUCCCAGCUACUUGGGAUGCUGAGGCAGGAGAAUCGCUUGGAAACAGCAAAUGGCUGCACUCAGGUUUGAAGAGGCAGACGGGAAAAUACAGGAAGAGAAACUAUCAUGAGAGCAAGAGCUGGGAGAGGAAAACACGGACUAUAAUGGAUGAGGUGCUGGAGGCACAGUGCAGGCAACUUUGAGAGUUAAAAACUCCAGGGGGACCCAGUCAUAUGAGGAUCCCACAAUUUUGUGAGAUUUACCUCUGGGAACUUGAUCAGGUUCUCACAGAAAAUAUUAGAGAAAAACCCUCUCAUGCUUCCAGUAGGGGGGAGAAAGGAAUAAUUUUAAAAUAUGCCAGAGCACUGUGUUCUUCUUCUUUCUUCUUUCUUCUCCUUCUU